UCAGUCGACUCCUACGGGGAGGCAGCAGUGGGGGAAUAUUGCACAAUGGGCGCAAGCCUGAUGCAGCCAUGCCGCGUCGUGUGAAGAAGGACCUUCGGGUUGUAAAGCACUUUCAGUCGUGAGGAAGGUAGUGUAGUUAAUAGCUGCAUUAUUUGACGUUAGCGACAGAAGAAGCACCGGCUAACUCCGUGCCAGCAGCCGCGGUAAUACGGAGGGUGCGAGCGUUAAUCGGAAUUACUGGGCGUAAAGCGCAUGCAGGUGGUUUGUUAAGUCAGAUGUGAAAGCCCGGGGCUCAACCUCGGAAUAGCAUUUGAAACUGGCAGACUAGAGUACUGUAGAGGGGGGUAGGAAUUUCAGGUGUAGCGGUGAAAUGCGUAGAGAUCUGAAGGAAUACCGGUGGCGAAGGCGGCCCCCUGGACAGAUACUGACACUCAGAUGCGAAAGCGUGGGGAGCAAACAGGAUUAGAUACCCUGGUAG
rnacentral:rRNA from 1 species